UGCUUGGUGUACUUCCCUUGGUCGACGGGUCAGCAUCAAUUUUGACCGGUGGAUAAGGUCAGGGGAAUGUGGCAUCUUCGGAUGUGUUAUAGCCCUUGGUUGCAUACAUCGGUUGGGAUUGAGGAACUCAGCACGCCGCAAG
rnacentral:rRNA from 1 species